UACGGAGGGGGCUAGCGUUGUUCGGAAUUACUGGGCGUAAAGCGCGCGUAGGCGGACCUGCAAGUCAGGGGUGAAAUCCUGGAGCUCAACUCCAGAACUGCCUUUGAUACUGAGGAUCUUGAGUUCGGGAGAGGUGAGUGGAACUGCGAGUGUAGAGGUGAAAUUCGUAGAUAUUCGGAAGAACACCAGUGGCGAAGGCGACUUACUGGACACAUAUUGACGCUGAGGUGCGAAAGCGUGGGGAGCAAACAGG
rnacentral:rRNA from 1 species